AGAGUUUGAUCCUGGCUCAGAACGAACGCUUUCGACAUGCUUAACACAUGCAAGUUGUACGGACUUUAUUAUUUUACAGUAAUGCAAAAUGAAAAAGUUAGUAGCAAACGGGUGAGUAAUGCAUAGAUACAUACCCUGUAGUCUGGAAUAACAAUUGGAAACGAUUGAUAAUACUGGAUAAUGUUGAAAAACCAAAGGAGAAAUUCGCUAUGGGAGUGGUCUAUGUUAGAUUAGAUUGUUGGUGGGGUAAUGGCCUACCAAGUCAAAGAUCUAUAGCUGGUCUGAGAGGAUGUACAGCCACAUUGGAACUGAGACACGGUCCAGACUCCUACGGGAGGCAGCAGUGGGGAAUAUUAGGCAAUGGGAGAAAUCCUGACCUAGCGAUGUCGAGUGAAUGAUGACAGACCUUGGUUUGUAAAGUUCUUUUGUAAACGAAUAAUAUGAAAGUAGUUUACGAAUAAGCACCGGCUAACUUCGUGCCAGCAGCCGCGGUAAUACGAAGGGUGCAAGCGUUGUUCGGAAUCACUGGGCAUAAAGGGCAUGUAGGUGGUUAUACAAGUUAGAAAAGAAAGAUCUGGGCUUAACCUGGAGAACUUUUUUAAUACUGUAUGACUAGAGGCAUUUAGGGGAUGAUGGAAUUAUGCGAGUAGAGGUGGAAUUCAUAGAUACGCAUAAGAACACCUGUGGCGAAGGCGAUCAUCUGGAAAUGUUCUGACACUGAGGUGCGAAGGUGUGGGGAGCAAACAGGAUUAGAUACCCUGGUAGUCCACACAGUCAACGAUGAAUGCUAUGUGUUGGAGUUUUCUUUCAGUGCAUCAGUUAAUACGGUAAGCAUUCCGCCUGGGGAGUACGGUCGCAAGAUUGAAACUUAAAGAAAUUGACGGGGACCCGCACAAGCGGUGGAUUAUGUGGUUUAAUUCGACGCUACACGCAGAACCUUACCAGCUUUUGACAUGACACUGAAGUUAUAGAGAUAUAAUGGCUCGCAAGAGAGGUGUACACAGAUGCUGCAUGGCUGUCGUCAGCUCGUGUCGUGAGAUGUUGGGUUAAGUCCCCAAACGAGCGCAACCCUCAUUGUCUUUUACCAUCAGGUUAUGCUGGGCACUAUGAUAAUACUGCCGAUGUUAAGUCGGGGGAAGGUGGGGAUGACGUCAAGUCCUCAUGGCUCUUACAGGCUGGGCUACACACGUAAUACAAUGGCUAUAACAGAGAGAUGCUUUUUCCCAUUUUGGGCACUAAGCUAACUCUUAAACAUAGCCUCAGUUCAGAUUGUCUUCUGCAACUCGAAGGCAUGAAGGUGGAAUCGCUAGUAAUCGCGAAACAGCAUGGUCGCGGUGAAUACGUUCUCGGGUCUUGUACACACUGCCCGUCACAUCAUGGAAGUUGGUUGUACCUUAAGUCGUCUUAUUAACCUUUUUGGAGAUGGACGCCCACGGUAAAAUCAGUAACUGGGAUGAAGUCGUAACAAGGUA
rnacentral:rRNA from 1 species